rnacentral:rRNA from 1 species
GACGAACGCUGGCGGCGUGCCUAAUACAUGCAAGUCGAACGCAGUGGGGACGGGUGAGUAACACGUGGGUAACCUCCCAUCAGAGGGGAUAACACUUGGAAACAGGUGCUAAACCGAUACUGAUGGAUGGACCCGCGGUGCAUUAGCUAGUUGGUGAGGUAACGGCUCACCAAGGCCACGAUGCAUAGCCGGCCGGCGAGGGUGGUCGGCCACACUGGGACUGAGACAGGGCCCAGGCUCCGACGGGGGGCAGCAGAAGGGAAUCUUCGACCAUGGGCGAAAGUCGGACCGAGAAACGCCGCGUGAGUGAAGAGGGUUUUAGGAUCGUAAAACUCUGUUGUUAGAGAAGCGGUAUCUAACCAGAAAGCCACGGAUAACUACGUGCCAGCAGCCGCGGUAAUUC